AAAGCYACGGCUAACUACGUGCCAGCAGCCGCGGUAAUACGUAGGUGGCAARCGUUAUYCSGGAAWUAUGGGCGUAAAGCGCGCGCAGGCGGUUUCUUAAGUCUGAUGUGAAAGCCCACGGCUCAACCGWGGAGGGUCAUKGGAAACUGGGGAAACUGAGUGCAGAAGAGAAAAGCGGAAUUUCCACGUGUAGCGGSUGAAAUGCGUAGAGAUGUGGAGGAACACCMGUGGSGAAGGCGGCUUUUUUGGUCUGUAACUGACGCUGAGGGCGCGAAAGCGUGGGGAGCAAAACAGGAUUAGAUACCCUGGUAGUCCACGCCGUAAACGAUGAGUGCUAAGUGUUAGAGGGGUUUCCGCCCUUUAGUGCUGCAGCUAACGCAUUAAAGCACUCCGCCUGGGGAGUACGGUCGCAAGACUGAAACUCAAAGGAAUUGACGGGGGCCCGCACAAGCGGUGGAGCAUGUGGUUUAAUUCGAAGCAACGCGAAGAACCUUACCAGGUCUUGACAUCCUCUGACAACUCUAGAGAUAGAGCGUUCCCCUUCGGGGGACAGAGUGACAGGUGGUGCAUGGUUGUCGUCAGCUCGUGUCGUGAGAUGUUGGGUUAAGUCCCGCAACGAGCRCAACCCUUGAUCUUAGUUGCCAGCAUUYAGUUGGGCACUCUAAGGUGACUGCCGGUGACAAACCGGAGGAAGGUGGGGAUGACGUCAAAUCAUCAUGCCCCUUAUGACCUGGGCUACACACGUGCUACAAUGGAUGGUACAAAGGGCUGCAAGACCGCGAGGUCAAGCCAAUCCCAUAAAACCAUUCUCAGUUCGGAUUGUAGGCUGCAACUCGCCUACAUGAAGCUGGAAUCGCUAGUAAUCGCGGAUCAGCAWRMCGCGGUGAAUACGUUCCCGG
rnacentral:rRNA from 1 species